rnacentral:lncRNA from 1 species
GCACCGGAGAUGUCGUCGAUCAAUCAGACUGAUGAAAUAGAGGACAUUAUGGCUUGCGUAACGGCUUUGGAAGCUGCUCUGUUGCCAUGUUUACCCGCUGGAGAGCUUCAAGUCAUCGACGGCUCUUGUCAUCCUUUAUAGAGAUCUGAUGAUUUGUGGAUUGGUAAACGCAAAUUGCGUAUACUCUGAUGACUUUUCUACAUUCAUUGACAGGCUAUAUAUAGAGAUAUUGGUAAGCAAGCAUAAAAUCUCCGAAAUAUCAACUAUAUUAAG